rnacentral:rRNA from 1 species
UACGGAGGGAGCUAGCGUUGUUCGGAAUUACUGGGCGUAAAGCGCACGUAGGCGGCUUUGUAAGUUAGAGGUGAAAGCCCGGAGCUCAACUCCGGAACUGCCUUUAAGACUGCAUCGCUUGAAUCCAGGAGAGGUGAGUGGAAUUCCGAGUGUAGAGGUGAAAUUCGUAGAUAUUCGGAAGAACACCAGUGGCGAAGGCGGCUCACUGGACUGGUAUUGACGCUGAGACGCGAAAGCCAGGGGAGCGAACGGG